rnacentral:rRNA from 1 species
AGAUUGAACGCUGGCGGCAUGCCUUACACAUGCAAGUCGAACGGCAGCACGGGAGCAAUCCUGGUGGCGAGUGGCGAACGGGUGAGUAAUACAUCGGAACGUGCCCAAUCGUGGGGGAUAACGCAGCGAAAGCUGUGCUAAUACCGCAUAAGAUCUACGGAUGAAAGCAGGGGAUCGCAAGACCUUGCGCGAAUGGAGCGGCCGAUGGCAGAUUAGGUAGUUGGUGAGGUAAAGGCUCACCAAGCCUUCGAUCUGUAGCUGGUCUGAGAGGACGACCAGCCACACUAGGACUGAGACACGGCCCAGACUCCUACGGGAGCAGCAGUGGGAAUUUGGACAGUGGGCGAAAGCCUGAUCCAGCCAUGCC